ACUGUGGAGUGUACAAGAACUUGUGAGUAGCGUAUUGUUUUAUAAUUGCCAAAGCAUACACAUUGAAAGCAGUAA
rnacentral:ncRNA from 12 species